rnacentral:snRNA from 1 species
AAAUAUAAAACAAAAAUCAACCUUCAACUUUCUUCCUCACCGCUCCAUGUGCGUCCCUCCCGAAGCUGUGCAUUCGGUUGAAGAGGACGAUCUUCCAUGAUAGAGGAGGACUGUUCUUCCGUCAAGGGUAAGGAGAAGCUGCACUCCCCUGCUAGAACCUCCAAACAAGCUCUCAAAAAUCAACAUUCAAAAUUUGCUAACAUUCACUAUUUAAAAAAAAAUAACUCUCAGUGUACUAGAAAUAAUAGAGAGCUUCCCAAGAUGAUAAAGAG